rnacentral:rRNA from 1 species
CAGUCGCCGCGGUAAUACGAAGGGUGCAAGCGUUACUCGGAAUUACUGGGCGUAAAGCGUGCGUAGGUGGUGGUUUAAGUCCGUUGUGAAAGCCCUGGGCUCAACCUGGGAAUUGCAGUGGAUACUGGGUCACUAGAGUGUGGUAGAGGAUAGUGGAAUCUCCGGUGUAGCAGUGAAAUGCGUAGAGAUCGGAAGGAACAUCUGUGGCGAAGGCGACUAUCUGGGCCAACACUGACACUGAGGCACGAAAGCGUGGGGAGCAAACAGGAUUAGAUACCCCGGUAGUCCCUGUCUCUUAUAC